rnacentral:rRNA from 1 species
GGUUAAGCGACUAAGCGUACACGGUGGAUGCCCUGGCAGUCAGAGGCGAUGAAGGACGUGCUAAUCUGCGAUAAGCGUCGGUAAGGUGAUAUGAACCGUUAUAACCGGCGAUUUCCGAAUGGGGAAACCCAGUGUGAUUCGUCACACUAUCAUUAACUGAAUCCAUAGGUUAAUGAGGCGAACCGGGGGAACUGAAACAUCUAAGUACCCCGAGGAAAAGAAAUCAACCGAGAUUCCCCCAGUAGCGGCGAGCGAACGGGGAGGAGCCCAGAGCCUGAAUCAGUGUGUGUGUUAGUGGAAGCGUCUGGAAAGGCGCGCGAUACAGGGUGACAGCCCCGUACACAAAAAUGCACAUGCUGUGAGCUCGAUGAGUAGGGCGGGACACGUGGUAUCCUGUCUGAAUAUGGGGGGACCAUCCUCCAAGGCUAAAUACUCCUGACUGACCGAUAGUGAACCAGUACCGUGAGGGAAAGGCGAAAAGAACCCCGGCGAGGGGAGUGAAAAAGAACCUGAAACCGUGUACGUACAAGCAGUGGGAGCACGCUUAGGCGUGUGACUGCGUACCUUUUGUAUAAUGGGUCAGCGACUUAUAUUCUGUAGCAAGGUUAACCGAAUAGGGGAGCCGAAGGGAAACCGAGUCUUAACUGGGCGUUAAGUUGCAGGGUAUAGACCCGAAACCCGGUGAUCUAGCCAUGGGCAGGUUGAAGGUUGGGUAACACUAACUGGAGGACCGAACCGACUAAUGUUGAAAAAUUAGCGGAUGACUUGUGGCUGGGGGUGAAAGGCCAAUCAAACCGGGAGAUAGCUGGUUCUCCCCGAAAGCUAUUUAGGUAGCGCCUCGUGAAUUCAUCUCCGGGGGUAGAGCACUGUUUCGGCAAGGGGGUCAUCCCGACUUACCAACCCGAUGCAAACUGCGAAUACCGGAGAAUGUUAUCACGGGAGACACACGGCGGGUGCUAACGUCCGUCGUGAAGAGGGAAACAACCCAGACCGCCAGCUAAGGUCCCAAAGUCAUGGUUAAGUGGGAAACGAUGUGGGAAGGCCCAGACAGCCAGGAUGUUGGCUUAGAAGCAGCCAUCAUUUAAAGAAAGCGUAAUAGCUCACUGGUCGAGUCGGCCUGCGCGGAAGAUGUAACGGGGCUAAACCAUGCACCGAAGCUGCGGCAGCGACGCUUAUGCGUUGUUGGGUAGGGGAGCGUUCUGUAAGCCUGCGAAGGUGUGCUGUGAGGCAUGCUGGAGGUAUCAGAAGUGCGAAUGCUGACAUAAGUAACGAUAAAGCGGGUGAAAAGCCCGCUCGCCGGAAGACCAAGGGUUCCUGUCCAACGUUAAUCGGGGCAGGGUGAGUCGACCCCUAAGGCGAGGCCGAAAGGCGUAGUCGAUGGGAAACAGGUUAAUAUUCCUGUACUUGGUGUUACUGCGAAGGGGGGACGGAGAAGGCUAUGUUGGCCGGGCGACGGUUGUCCCGGUUUAAGCGUGUAGGCUGGUUUUCCAGGCAAAUCCGGAAAAUCAAGGCUGAGGCGUGAUGACGAGGCACUACGGUGCUGAAGCAACAAAUGCCCUGCUUCCAGGAAAAGCCUCUAAGCAUCAGGUAACAUCAAAUCGUACCCCAAACCGACACAGGUGGUCAGGUAGAGAAUACCAAGGCGCUUGAGAGAACUCGGGUGAAGGAACUAGGCAAAAUGGUGCCGUAACUUCGGGAGAAGGCACGCUGAUAUGUAGGUGAAGUCCCUCGCGGAUGGAGCUGAAAUCAGUCGAAGAUACCAGCUGGCUGCAACUGUUUAUUAAAAACACAGCACUGUGCAAACACGAAAGUGGACGUAUACGGUGUGACGCCUGCCCGGUGCCGGAAGGUUAAUUGAUGGGGUUAGCGCAAGCGAAGCUCUUGAUCGAAGCCCCGGUAAACGGCGGCCGUAACUAUAACGGUCCUAAGGUAGCGAAAUUCCUUGUCGGGUAAGUUCCGACCUGCACGAAUGGCGUAAUGAUGGCCAGGCUGUCUCCACCCGAGACUCAGUGAAAUUGAACUCGCUGUGAAGAUGCAGUGUACCCGCGGCAAGACGGAAAGACCCCGUGAACCUUUACUAUAGCUUGACACUGAACAUUGAGCCUUGAUGUGUAGGAUAGGUGGGAGGCUUUGAAGUGUGGACGCCAGUCUGCAUGGAGCCGACCUUGAAAUACCACCCUUUAAUGUUUGAUGUUCUAACGUUGACCCGUAAUCCGGGUUGCGGACAGUGUCUGGUGGGUAGUUUGACUGGGGCGGUCUCCUCCUAAAGAGUAACGGAGGAGCACGAAGGUUGGCUAAUCCUGGUCGGACAUCAGGAGGUUAGUGCAAUGGCAUAAGCCAGCUUGACUGCGAGCGUGACGGCGCGAGCAGGUGCGAAAGCAGGUCAUAGUGAUCCGGUGGUUCUGAAUGGAAGGGCCAUCGCUCAACGGAUAAAAGGUACUCCGGGGAUAACAGGCUGAUACCGCCCAAGAGUUCAUAUCGACGGCGGUGUUUGGCACCUCGAUGUCGGCUCAUCACAUCCUGGGGCUGAAGUAGGUCCCAAGGGUAUGGCUGUUCGCCAUUUAAAGUGGUACGCGAGCUGGGUUUAGAACGUCGUGAGACAGUUCGGUCCCUAUCUGCCGUGGGCGCUGGAGAACUGAGGGGGGCUGCUCCUAGUACGAGAGGACCGGAGUGGACGCAUCACUGGUGUUCGGGUUGUCAUGCCAAUGGCACUGCCCGGUAGCUAAAUGCGGAAGAGAUAAGUGCUGAAAGCAUCUAAGCACGAAACUUGCCCCGAGAUGAGUUCUCCCUGACUCCUUGAGAGUCCUGAAGGAACGUUGAAGACGACGACGUUGAUAGGCCGGGUGUGUAAGCGCAGCGAUGCGUUGAGCUAACCGGUACUAAUGAACCGUGAGGCUUAACCUU